ensembl:snRNA U1 U1 spliceosomal RNA
GUUAAUACCUGGCAGGAGAGAUAUGAUUAUGAAAGUGGUUUUCCCAGGGCAGGGCUUAUCCAUUGAGUUCAAGAUAUGCUAACCCUUGAGAUGUCCCAAAUGUGGGAAACUCCACUGAAUAAUUUGUGGUAGUAAGGGACUGCAUUUGCACUUUCCCUUA